rnacentral:rRNA from 1 species
UACGUAGGGGGCGAGCGUUGUCCGGAAUUAUUGGGCGUAAAGAGCUCGUAGGCGGUUUGUCGCGUCGACUGUGAAAACCUACAGCUUAACUGUGGGCUUGCAGUCGAUACGGGCAGACUUGAGUUCGGUAGGGGAGACUGGAAUUCCUGGUGUAGCGGUGAAAUGCGCAGAUAUCAGGAGGAACACCGGUGGCGAAGGCGGGUCUCUGGGCCGAUACUGACGCUGAGGAGCGAAAGCGUGGGGAGCGAACAGG